rnacentral:sRNA from 1 species
UACGCACUUUCUCAUCUUCAAGUUCACCAUAUACUUCAGCCUCCUCUACAUAUGUCCCAUAAAAAUAACAAAAUCAAUGCAUGAUUUAUAAUUCUGUAAGUGCAAAAAUUAUGAAAAUUUUUUGCUUAGCAUUUUCAUAUGCUUCAAAACCUU